rnacentral:rRNA from 1 species
UGGGGAAUUUUGGACAAUGGGGGAAACCCUGAUCCAGCCAUCCCGCGUGUGCGAUGAAGGCCUUCGGGUUGUAAAGCACUUUUGGCAGGAAAGAAACGUCAUGGGUUAAUACCCCGUGAAACUGACGGUACCUGCAGAAUAAGCACCGGCUAACUACGUGCCAGCAGCCGCGGUAAUACGUAGGGUGCAAGCGUUUAUCGGAAUUACUGGGCGUAAAGCGUGCGCAGGCGGUUCGGAAAGAAAGAUGUGAAAUCCCAGAGCUCAACUUUGGAACUGCAUUUUUAACUACCGGGCUAGAGUGUGUCAGAGGGAGGUGGAAUUCCGCGUGUAGCAGUGAAAUGCGUAGAUAUGCGGAGGAACACCGAUGGCGAAGGCAGCCUCCUGGGAUAACACUGACGCUCAUGCACGAAAGCGUGGGGAGCAAACAGG